GCUUCCUUAGCUCAGCCGGUGGAACGCGAGUCUGAUAUUUGAGGUUCUUUGAGGACUGUAUUCGCAAGUUCGAGCCUUGCAGGGAGCA